UUCAAAUCAAAGACUGUACAAGACUAUUUUCUACAACUGAGACAAAAAGCACAAGAUACAACGUGAAUUCUAGAAGCAAGCACGUGGCAGACAUUGGCAAGCGUCCAAGCAAAGAACUGCGCAGCUGUGUGGAUGAAGCAACGAAAUAGACAGAAAUAACUGAUCUGGUGAGUAACAUGGAAUUCAUAAAUGAUAUUGCAGAGAAAAGUAAAUUGCAGUUUGCAUUUAAUAGCAGCUAUUCAGAUGCUGUAUUGUGGCAAUCUUUAUACACACAAUGUGAAAUUGCCAAUAGUGAAAUUGACAAGAAAUUGUUUGUUAAUAAGAAAAAACAAAAGAUCAGAAAUGUUAUGAAACUAGUCUGUACUUACAAUGCAUUGAUUUGUAAACGAAAUACAGGUAAAGACAAUUUAGAAUCAGCAGAAAAAGAAGUAGAUUUGAAUGGGUUAACAGAAGACAAAUCAGAUUUAAAUGAACAGUGUAACAAUGUAACAGAGAGAACAUUGUCAGAAAAAGUCUGUGAAUUAGAGGAUAGAGUUGAAUUAAGAAAUGAUCUUAUUUGCCAGCUUGGAAAUGAAGUUAAACUAGUGUGUGUUAAUACAAGAAAAAUACAAGCACAGAAUCUAAUCCCAGAACUAACAGAUACUGAAAAUGUAUCCUCACAGAGUGAUUUGCAGAAAUGUAAAUUUCAAGACAGAGCUGCAAAACUUAAUUUGAAAAUACAUGAACAAUUAAUGAAAAUUGUGAAAUGUAUUCCAGUUUAUGACACGUCAGUGGAUGCAUUUACUAAUGCUGAAAUGUUUGAGUCUAAUUUAGACAAAUACAGCCUAAAUGACGAACAAAGGAAUAGAUUAUUUCAAAUAUGGCUGCCGACUCAAAUGGCAUGUAGGCUGACCACGCUUGUAAGAUUUCAGGACAAUGAUGAAAUAGUCCAUGGAAAUGAGCGAGACAGAUUAACACAAUUAAUAAAAUUAACAACAGGGAAUGAUUUUGCAGACACUGAAAUGUUGGAAAAACUAAAACCACACAAAGGGGAGGAUAUAUUUAGUUUUCUUGUAAAAUUUGAAAGUGCAUAUAGACUUGUUGCUAAUUUUUCUGAGAAUCAGUUAAUUAAUGAAUUUGUGAAAAAAUUUCAAGAUCUAGAUCCAACUGCAAUUGUAAUUGCUAGAGAAAAAAGGACUUUGAAUGAAGUUGCUUUGUUCUUGGAUAACUUAAGGAGGGAAACCAAUAAUGAAGGGGUUAAAAUGACUUGUGGAAUUAGGCAGAGAAAGAAGUGCAGAUGUUACAGCCCUCGUCCCCCUCCUUCUUCUUCUAGGACAGAGUGUAGAGUGAUACAGACAGCUGAGCCCCUCCCAUUUUAUUCAACUAAAAACUGUAGAGUUGAUAAUAUAGGGCAGAAUAUAACUCCUAAAGUUAUUUGUUUUUGGUGCAAUAAACAACAUUAUUUAAGAUCUUGCAGAUAUUUUAUCCGAGAUAUCAAAUCAAAAGCAAAUGAGAAAUUAAAUUUGUUGAUUGAAAAUUUUGACAGAGAAAAUACAUGUGAAGAUAAAUCAAUUAAAGCCUUUCCUUGUAAACUUAUAAUCAGACAAAUAAAAGCAAUUUUAGCUAAAUCAAAAUUAGGAGACAGACAAGCAAUGCAGUGUAACACAGAAAGUUAUAAGAAUCAGAUAACUUCAAGAGAUAUGAUCAGUUUAGGGAAUAAGCAUGGAUAUGUGUGCCAACAGAUGUGCACAGGCUGAUUCCAGAAUUAAGAACAGCCAAGAAUAGAGAUCUAUGUUAGUUUGUUGUUUUAAUGAAUUGUUAGUCUGAACUGUUUUUUCAUUGUUUUAUGUGUGUUAUAAGAAAGUAUUAGGUAAUUAAUUAAAAUAAAAAUUUACAUCAAGUUUGCAAAUAUGGCAGAAUUAAAUACACUAAUGUAGCAGUUAGGAACAUGCAAUGUUAUAUUGGGUGUAUGCAAUUAUACAGUAACUCCAAUCAUUUUACAGAAGAAAAAACAAUGGAUAUAUUCCUUGUUACUCCUGAGGUUGAUUUAAAAUCUUUGAUUUAAUUCAUGAGAAUGAGAUUUUAAUGUCAUGACUGAUAAUGGAUUACUGUAUUUUGCAAAGCCUGGACAUACAUAUGUUUUGACUACAUAGAAGACAAAAGUUUUGAUAGGAUUAAACCUAGAUUUACAAAUACAUUUGAUGUAGGAAACAAUAUAUGUUUUUUGUAGUUUGUUUCAUGUGACAAAAUGAUGCCAGUGUUAAGACAAGAUGGCUGCUAUUGCUAACGUAUAGUGGAAAACAAUAUUUAGUUGUAACAUCUGACAUGUGAUUAGGUUAUACCUCCAAAUUAUUAAACAGUUUAAAAGGGGGGUAUGAGUAAUAAAAAGUUUGAGAAUUGAGAAUUUACAUGUUCAGAAAGAUUUUAAUAUAAGGAAAUUUAAAGAUUAUACAUCACAUGGCAUAAAUGUAAUGACCACUAGAUGGUAGAUCUCAUGAGAAGAUAUGAGUAUGUUUUGUGUAGUCAAUAUGAUUCAAUGUUAAACUGUGUAAUAAUAAUGAGAUAUAAACAUUGUAAGCCAUUGUAUUGAUGCUGCACAUGUUAUUUGUUUUAAUGUAGGUAAAGCGUGACAGAUCCUUGUGGCAAUAAAUCAGGAAAGUAUUCCUUCAGACAACUGGACAUCGACUGUUGGAAAGAGACUUUUCAUCUAAUCUGCAAACUGUGAUGGAAGAUUCUACAGAGUUCAUUCGAUACAGAAGAUUAACAGACUUACAAAGAAAUAAAAGAUUGACACUAACAUACAUAUAUAUUCCUAAAUAUUAAUGAAGAAAACAGACAAUGAAAAGUUAUUUAACAGUUAUGA